UGUCAACAUCAUUUGCUAGUCACGGAAAUUGUAGAGUGAACAGUAAUUAUAACCGUUUACAGUGGAGUAUAAGGCGAGAGGUAAAAGUGAAUCCCCUUGGAACAAUCAGGACUGGGAAAGGUUUACUUUCAAUGCACACGCUGCUUUUGCACAAUGUGUAUAGCGAGGAUUCAUUUAGGCCCUGCAGGAUCCUUGGACUGUGACGGGACACUGAAAAGAUGAUGUCCAGUAUGUCAGGGCUGCUUCAAGCAAUAAACAGGGUGAAUAACAAUGGAUUAGGCCAGGCUGGAAAAAAAGAAGGACUCAGAAAGACAGUCAGUUCAGCAGCUGUUACAUGCCUGGAGGCUACACAGAACGGAUAGAGCCGAGAUGCGGGUGGUAGAGUAAGAAACUAAAAGAGCAGCCACCAGCCACCAGCCACCAGCCACCAUCUACCAUCUAUGGAUACAUUCCCCCCAAAUAAACUUCCUGGAACAGAUGGAGGAUGAUAAAACAGACUUCACACUUACAUUCCACUGUGCAAGGACUUUGUUGUUUUACAUAGAAACAAACAAACAAACAGUUCAGUUUAAUCUAAAGUUAUGUGUGUAAAAAAAAAAAAAAAAAAAAACAUGGUCAAUUGUUAGUGUCCUGUUGCAGUAAUAAAAUGUCUAGACAGCAAUUAACAUCAAUUUCCCUCAAGAGUUUAAGCAUGUCAUCAGCACUAGAGCUGGGUUUCAGGGACCAAUUGUCAAUCCAUUUUUUAAAUUGAACCGUGUUUUCUUUUGCAGGACCUUUAGCCAUCCUGGCCUGACAAGGGUGCUAAAUCAGAUAAAGCCAAGAUGUUGGUCUGUUUUUGUCCAGCAAGCACCCCCUGUAAAUGCAAGUUUAAGUUCUCCGUUCAGUUCUGCCCCUAACUCUGUUACAGUACCAAUAGCACAUUUCUUGAUUGAAUGUUAGUUGAAAGAUUAUAAAAAGAGAUAACCUCAAAUGAAUUAGAUAUGUUAAUUGAAAGAUAAAAGAAGAGAUAACCUAAAAUGAAUGAGAUAUGCAUUUUUCAUCAUGACAUCCAUUUCUAAUUAGUUUUAAAUCCAGUUAUAUGAAAUGUCCUUUAAGUUGUUGUCAGAUUAAUUUUCUAUUUCCUCCAUAGGCUUCUAUAAUGCAUAUUCCUGUAUUAUCUGUUAAUAUGUUUUCUCUGCUUUAUCCUUUGUUUAACCAGGAAGUACCAUUUACAUUAAAAUAUAUUUUACAAGAAGAGACCUGGGGCCAGUUGCAUAAAACUAUAUUAGUCUAGUUUAAACCAUUAUACUAGUCUUACUUUGACAAUUAGACUAGUCUAAUGCAAGUUAGUCAGUUGCAUAAAAAUUAAGACUGACUGAGACUUAUUGACAGAAGCUCUAAGUUAGCCUCCUCAACCCCAGGCUAACUUAGAACUUUUGUCAAUGUUUCCAUGGAAACCAUUAACUGUGAGAAAGAAAUCAAUUGCACUAACAAAAUUAAUUAUAUAGUAUUUUAUUUUUUUUUUUUUACUUACAAUAGUAAAUAAA